UACGUAGGGGGCAAGCGUUGUCCGGAAUCAUUGGGCGUAAAGCGCGUGUAGGCGGCCAGGUAAGUCCGCUGUGAAAGUCCAGGGCUCAACCCUGGGAUGCCGGUGGAUACUGUCGGGCUCGAGUCCGGAAGAGGAGUGUGGAAUUCUCGGUGUAGAGGUGAAAUUCGUAGAUAUCGAGAGGAACACCGGCGGCGAAAGCGGCUACCUGGACGAGGACUGACGCUGAGAUGCGAAAGCGUGGGGAGCGAACAGG
rnacentral:rRNA from 1 species